rnacentral:rRNA from 1 species
AGCGAACAUUGGCGGUAGGCUUAACACAUGCAAGUCGAGCGAGGCGUAAUAGUCGAGCGGCGAACGGGUGCGUAAUACAUGGGAAUCUACCUCGAAGUGGGGGAUAACGUUCAGAAAUGGACGCUAAUACCGCAUAAUCCAUAUUGGGAAAGCGUUGCAGCGCUUUGAGAUGAGCCAAUGGCUGAUUAGCUAGUUGGUGAGGUAAUGGCUAACCAAGGCGACGAUCAGUAGCUGGGCUGAGAGGAUGACAAGCCACCCUGGAACUGAGACACGGUCCAGACUCCUACGGGAGGCAGCAGUGGGGAAUCUUGCGCAAGGGGGGCAACCCUGACGCAGCCAUACCGCGUGAGUGAUGAAGGUCUUCGGAUUGUAAAGCUCUUUCGGCGGGGACGACGAUGACGGUACCCGCAAAAGAAGUCACGGCUAACUUCGUGCCAGCCGCCGCCGUAA